UGACUAUGCCCGAUCUCGUCUGAUCUUGGAAACUAAGCA
rnacentral:rRNA from 1 species